AGUUUGAUCCUGGCUCAGAACGAACGCUGGCGGCAGGCUUAACACAUGCAAGUCGAACGCUCCGCAAGGAGAGUGGCAGACGGGUGAGUAACGCGUGGGAAUCUACCCAACCCUGCGGAAUAGCUCUGGGAAACUGGAAUUAAUACCGCAUACGCCCUACGGGGGAAAGAUUUAUCGGGGUAUGAUGAGCCCGCGUUGGAUUAGCUAGUUGGUGGGGUAAAGGCCUACCAAGGCGACGAUCCAUAGCUGGUCUGAGAGGAUGAUCAGCCACAUUGGGACUGAGACACGGCCCAAACUCCUACGGGAGGCAGCAGUGGGGAAUAUUGGACAAUGGGCGCAAGCCUGAUCCAGCCAUGCCGCGUGAGUGAUGAAGGCCUUAGGGUUGUAAAGCUCUCUCACCGAUGAAGAUAAUGACGGUAGUCGGAGAAGAAGCCCCGGCUAACUUCGUGCCAGCAGCCGCGGUAA
rnacentral:rRNA from 1 species